AAAUGCAUUUACUGAAUUUUUUUUUUCAACGAGGGAUAGAUGAUUUGAAUACUAAACCAACAGAAACGAUAACCACUAAACCAACAAGGGUUUAGUAUUUAAUUUCCGUAAGGAUUAAUAUUUAAUUUUCUCUGUUGGGGUGACUUUGCUUUUGGUUGACUGAACAGCUUAUCGCUUGCCUUCAAGGGCCCAAAAUCCAAAUGGUCAUUUCUAAAGUCCCUCCUUUCUUAUCUGCCAUAACCAGAAGUUUAGAACCUAAGUUGUCUAAUUAAUCUGUCCUCUUCCAUAAUUUUGAUAAAUUCCUAUUGGAUUGAAUACCUUUUCC
rnacentral:lncRNA from 1 species